CGUGUCUGUGCACGUGUGUGUGUGUGUGUGUAUGUGUGAUAUGUACACAUGCAUCACACACACACACACACACACACCCACACACACAAAC
rnacentral:miRNA from 1 species